rnacentral:rRNA from 1 species
GGGGGAUGCGAGCGUUAUCCGGAAUGACUGGGCGUAAAGCGUUUGUAGGUGAUCUUCUAAGUCUUGGUUUAAAUCAUAAAGCUUAACUUUUAAAAGAGCCAAGAUACUGGUUGAAUAGAGUGAAAUUGAGGUAUUUGGGGGAAUUCUUAGAGGAAUAGUAAAAUGUAACGAUACUAAGAUGAAGACCGAAGGCGAAGGCGUCAUACUAAAUUUUAACUGACACUCAAGGACGAAAGCUAGGGGAGCAAAUGGGAUUAGAGACCCCAGUAGUCUUAGCAGUAGACGAUGAGUACUAGAUGUUGGACGCACGGUAAUAUAUAAUCUAUUUAUCUACUCGUUCGGUAUCUAAGCUAACGCAAUAAGUACUCCGCCUGAGGAGUACGCUCGCAAGGGUGAAACUCAAAGGAAUUGACGGGGGCUCGUACAAGCGGCGGAGCAUGUGGUUUAAUUUGAUGCAAAGCAAAAAAUCUUACCAGAGCUUGAAGUUGAAAUUUUCAAAUUUAAUCGAUUUGAAAAGCCAUAAAUUGGCAAAAACGAGGUGGUGCAUGGCUGUCGUCAGCUCGUGUCGUGAGACGUUGGGUUAAUUCCCUUAACGAGCGCAACCCUUGUCAUAAGUUCUUUUGUCUUAUGAGAAGGCUCGAUUCGUCGAGAUUAAGAGGAGGAUGACGUCAAGUCAUCAUGCCCUUUAUGCUCUGGGCUACACACGUGCUACAAUGGUCGUUACAAUAAGUACUGAAGAAAAAAACGUAUAACGAUUAUACGUUUAAUUUUAACGUAAGUAUGAAAAUAUUUACAAAUCUUUAAAAGCGUAGCCCUAAUAUGAAUCGUGGACUGAAACUCGUCCACGUCAAACCGGAGUCGCUAGUAAUCGCCGGUCACCAUUACGGCGGUGAAUACGUAACCGAGCCUUGUACACACCGCCCGUCACACCCUGGGAAUUUAGGCUUUUUGAAACAUCUGCAGUGGGUGCGAUUAAGGAUUGGGUAACUGGGGUG